ACUGUGAUUCAAGAAAUUGUUAAUGGGAAGGAUCUGGAAGAAGUAUUUAAAAGUCCAAAAUUAGGAAGAGGAUUGAGGGAGAAGAAAAGAAAAACACUGUCUAGCAGUGACGAAGAAUGUGAGAAUAGUGAUGAGAAUACCGCACAUAGUAAUAACAGCAGAAAGGUCCUGAAAAAAAAAAAGAUCGAUUCUGUCAAGAAAGCUAAUAAUAGUAUUUUACAUAUGUAUAAGAGGGCGAGAAAUAUUGAAAAUUCAUUACAGAUGCGUCCAUUAGAAAACAGCAAGGAUUCCGACAGUGACCAUACGACAUGCAGUGAACCCGACACGGAUGAUGAAAGAACUCAUAUCACAACUCUUAAAAAAUCUAAUUGGAAACUGCAGCAAGACGCUAAAUUAUACAGACAAAAUAUAAAAAAUUUAACUUCCAUCAUAGCUUUGAAUAAAAAAUUACCAGACUUGCUUCAAGAAACGGAAAACCUGAUUUCUAAAUUACCAGACUUAGUCCAAGAAACGGAGAACCUGAUUUCUAAACUGAAGAAGAAAGAAGAGGGGGACGAAUCUUUUAUAUCAUUAAAGGAAGUCGAUACUACCUACGAUACAGAAAAGGAGGUUGUUAAUCGUGAAAAUAGAUCACCUAACACUAGUUUUAUAACUGCAGAGCUGCUUAACGAAUGCUCAAAAGAGAAUCCACAAAAGUUCAUCAAUGAUAUAAUGCAUGGUUUAUAUGACGAUGAGUAUAUGGCAACACAUUCCAUCACAGGAUUCAAGCGCAGCAAAUCCACUGACGAGAUAAAAGAUCCGAUGGAUAAGUUGCAUGGGACAAUGCUUAUAGCCCAGCUUCAAACAACAUUUCCAACAAUAUGCAAAAAAGAAUCCGAAGCCAAACGGUAUAUUCGGGCGAAGCUGAAUAAUGCAAAUAAUGCAUCUAAAACAAUUGCAAAAAAAAAGAAAAUCAAACCAAACAACGAG